rnacentral:tRNA from 1 species
UGGGGUGUAGCUCAGUGACAGAGCACCUGCUUAGCAGGCUGGAGGUCCCGGGUUCAACCUUCAGCAUCACAA